AUUGAACGCUGGCGGCAGGCCUAACACAUGCAAGUCGAGCGGAGCGGCGGACGGGUGAGUAAUGCCUAGGAAUCUGCCUGGUAGUGGGGGAUAACGUCCGGCAACGGGCGCUAAUACCGCAUACUAUCAGAUGAGCCUAGGUCGGUUUAGCUAGUGGGUGGGGUAAAGGCCUACAAAGGCGACGAUCCGUAACUGGUCUGAGAGGAUGAUUAGUCAAACUGGAACUGGGACACGGCCCAGACUCCUACGGAAGGCAGCAGUGGGGAAUAUUCGACAAUGGGCGAAAGCCUGAUCCAGCCAGGCCGCGUGUGUGAAGAAGGUCUUCGGAUUGUAAAGCACUUUAAGUGGGGAGGCGGUACCAACAGAAUAAGCACCGGCUAACUUCGUGCCAGCAGCCGCGGUAAUUC
rnacentral:rRNA from 1 species